AGGAUAAACGCUGGCGGCGUGCCUAACACAUGCAAGUCGAACGCGCUUUCGGGCUUCGGUGCGAGAGCGAGUGGCGGACGGGUGAGUAACACAUGGGUACCUACCUUGGAGUGAGGGAUACCGGCGAGAAAUCGCCGACAAUACCGCAUAGGCUUCUUCACAAGGGAAGCAAAGUGACGCGAGUCACGCUGUGAGAUGGGCCUGUGGCCGAUUAGCUAGUUGGGGGGUAACGGCUUCCCAAGGCGACGAUCGGUAGCUGGUCUGAGAGGACGAUCAGCCACACUGGGAUUGAGAACGGCCCAGACUCCUACGGGGGGCAGCAGUGAGGAAUUUUCCGCAAUGGAGGCAACUCUGACGGAGCAACGCCGCGUGCAGGAGGAAGGUUUUCGGAUCGUAAACUGCUUUUCUCGGGGACGAGCAAGGACGGUACCCGAGGAACGAAGCCCCGGCUAACUACGUGCCAGCAGCCGC
rnacentral:rRNA from 1 species